UGUUACCAGGCAACAACCCCGGCCUGGGCAGUGCUUAGCCCCAGAUACCCCAAAGCUGUUGUACGCACAUGAUGAAGGUGAAAUUGUAAUUCUGUGCGGCUCCCCAGCCAGCCUGGCCCGGCCCUGGCUUCCAACAGGUAGCCAGGCUGGAGGGCACGCAGCGGGAGCCCCGCGGCCUCCUGUGGGCCGAGCCGGCGCGGCGCUGCAGGCCGGGACGAGCAGGAAAAAUGCAGGGCCCCGUGCGCCUGUGGACGGGGCCGGUGCGCAGCGCUGCUGCUGCUGUUCAGUGAUCUGAAUGGGCUCCGGCCGAUAACGCCGCGCUGGGAUCUCCUGCGAGCUCCGUGGCUCCCGUGAAUUGCCUGGCUCUCCUUCAAAGGCUGCCCUACGGACUCUGGAGCCUUCGAACAAAAUCCAUCGGCUUCAGCGCUAAACCAAAAAUCACCUACAACUUGAAGGACGUGAUGUCAUUCGUCUACAUACAACAAAAAAUAUUUUUCAUUGAUGACAAGGACCGUGUCUCAAUUGUCUUUUGCCAAGGUGUGCCGGAUGAGGCACUUGGACAAAAAUAUCUCACCAGUCUACAGCUGAGGAAUCACUGCCAUGUGAGCAGUCUGACUCUGAAUUCCAGCUAG
rnacentral:lncRNA from 1 species